rnacentral:rRNA from 1 species
CAGCAGCCGCGGUAAUCCGUAGGUGGCAAGCGUUGUCCGGAAUUAUUGGGCGUAAAGGGCUCGCAGGCGGUUUCUUAAGUCUGAUGUGAAAGCCCCCGACUCAACCGGGGAGGGUCAUUGGAAACUGGGAAACUUGAGUGCAGAAGAGGAGAGUGGAAUUCCACGUGUAGCGGUGAAAUGCGUAGAGAUGUGGAGGAACACCAGUGGCGAAGGCGACUCUCUGGUCUGUAACUGACGCUGAGGAGCGAAAGCGUGGGGAGCGAACAGGAUUAGAUACCCCAGUAGUCCCUGUCUCUUAUAC